ensembl:lincRNA 2310047D07Rik RIKEN cDNA 2310047D07 gene
CCAAUAAACGUGUGCAGAAGGAUCCUGUUGCAGCGUUACUGCUGGCCAGUCUGGAGCGCGCAAGACCUGCCAUAGGUUACUGGCUUUUUAAUUGACAGCUGGGAGAUCUUCCCCUGAAGGACAGGCUCCACACAGCACAGUAUCCUCACUGCCAAGUGCUCUUCGGGUGUCCGUCUCUGCCAUCAGUAUUUUUAGCAUAUGGCCUUUGGAGCCCGAAGAACAACGUCCACCUCCCAGAACUGGUCCUCCAGCUGACAGAUAGGACUGCAUGAAAGAGGGCACUUCAGAGGCCAACCGAGUCGGUGCAAAUCAGAUGCUAACGGCAACCCCUCCGCCCAGAAAUCCCAAGUGGAAGGACGCCUCUCGUGAAAUUGCCUUCCGUGACAGUUACAGACAGCCUGAAGGGAAUACCUGUCCAGGUGAUACGGGACAAGAAAAACACCACGAUGUAAGCAUCGUUUCUACAGAUCUCACAACAGGCCCCAAGCCAACCCCGUUGGGAUUCGUAUCAUGCUUUGUUGCACCAGAUGAAGUCUGAUCUGGGACCGUGCCAGAAAACACGGAAGGAAGACGAGAAAGGGUGAAGAGCUUCUAAAUUAGAUUCUGCUGGGGCCAGGAAAGCAGACACGACUGCCGUGGAGAAGGUCAAUGCAAGCAUUUUAAAAUCGUGUCUUCCUUUUCAUGAUAAUCAAACAUUAAAAUGAGUGCAUUCUCUGCUCUCUGGAAAAUACUGUC